rnacentral:tRNA from 1 species
CAGAAAAUAGUUUAAAAAAAAUAUUAAUUUUGGAGAUUAAAGCUAUAAAAUAGAUUAUUUUUCUGA